rnacentral:rRNA from 1 species
CAGUAACGGCGAGUGAAGCGGCAACAGCUCAAAUUUGAAAUCUGGCUCUCGGGCCCGAGUUGUAAUUUGUAGAGGAUGCUUUUGGUGAGGUGCCUUCCGAGUUCCCUGGAACGGGACGCCAUAGAGGGUGAGAGCCCCGUCUGGUUGGACGCCGAACCUCUGUAAAGCUCCUUCGACGAGUCGAGUAGUUUGGGAAUGCUGCUCUAAAUGGGAGGUAUAUGUCUUCUAAAGCUAAAUACCGGCCAGAGACCGAUAGCGCACAAGUAGAGUGAUCGAAAGAUGAAAAGAACUUUGAAAAGAGAGUUAAACAGUACGUGAAAUUGUUGAAAGGGAAGCGCUUGUGACCAGACUUGGGCUUGGUUGAUCAUCCGGGGUUCUCCCCGGUGCACUCUUCCGGCCCAGGCCAGCAUCAGUUCGCCCUGGGGGACAAAGGCUUCGGGAACGUGGCUCUCUCCGGGGAGUGUUAUAGCCCGUUGCGUAAUACCCUGUGGCGGACUGAGGUUCGCGCAUUCGCAAGGAUGCUGGCGUAAUGGUCAUCAGUGACCCGUCUUGAAACACGGACCAAGGAGUCGUCUUCGUAUGCGAGUGUUCGGGUGUCAAACCCCUACGCGAAAUGAAAGUGAACGCAGGUGAGAGCUUCGGCGCAUCAUCGACCGAUCCUGAUGUUAUCGGAUGGAUUUGAGUAAGAGCAUACGGGGCCGGACCCGAAAGAAGGUGAACUAUGCCUGUGUAGGGUGAAGCCAGAGGAAACUCUGGUGGAGGCUCGCAGCGGUUCUGACGUGCAAAUCGAUCGUCAAACAUGGGCAUG